UUCUUGCUAGUAUAUCGGUAGAACACUCCCCUGUCAGUCUGAAAACGGGAGAGGGCUGGGUUCGAUUCCCAGGCAGGAAG